GACGAACGCUGGCGGCGUGCCUAAUACAUGCAAGUAGGACGCAGUUGCGAACGGGUGAGUAACGCGUAGGUAACUACCUAGUAGAGGGGGAUAACUAUUGGAAACGAUAGCUAAUACCGCAUACUAGUAGAUGGACCUGCGUUGUAUUAGCUAGUAGGUAGGGUAAUGGCCUACCUAGGCAACGAUACAUAGCCGACCCGAGAGGGUGGUCGGCCACACUGGGACUGGGACACGGCCCAGACUCCUACGGGAGGGAGCAGUAGGGAAUCUUCGGCAAUGGGGGGAAACCCGACCGAGCACAGCCGCGGGAGUGAAAGAGGUUUUCGGAUCGUAAAGCUCUGUUGUUAAGGAAGCGGUACUUGACCAGAAAGGGACGGCUAACUACGUGCCAGCAGCCGCGGUAAUAC
rnacentral:rRNA from 1 species